rnacentral:misc_RNA from 1 species
CUCAGGCAAACCAUCAAAGCACAUGGAAGUAUUUAUUAAUCAACAGGUAAGCUGCUGCAUCCAGAAACAAGCGAUCACUACAGACGCUUUGACAAAAUCCAACCUGGGCGAGUCAUUCAAACCGAAGCAAUAUUUGUUAGGCGUCUUUUUUUUCAAAAUGAGAGUUAAUGCUUGCCCACAGGCUUGAAGUUGUUCAGCACAUUGUUUAACUGCAUAUGGCAUGAGUUUGGAGCUGGGAAAAUCUCAUCGCUGCCCCCAUCCAGCAUGAGCCUUGUGCAGUGGAGCUAAUGAAAGACACUGUUCCUAGCUAUAUAUAGUAAAAAGCACGCAUCCACCAGAAAACCAUAGCAAUGGGUAGCAGAGAUACAUUUUAACAAAAAUCUAGCUAGAGAAAAUUACUUCAACAGACAAAUCUAGCUAGAGAGAAUUACUUCAGUAGACAGACAACCCUCCUAGACUCCAAUCCUGCAAGAAUACAAAAGGAACCGUGUCAAGCUACUGCAUAUGAUCCAUAACUGAAACAGCAUUCGGCGAGAGUUGAAGCAUAAUUCAUUCAGUACACUGAUAAACACUAAAUCCUUCGAUUUUGAAGAUUGAACAGCAACUAACACAAGGAACCACACUUAUUAGCUAUGCUGGUCCCAUUCUAGCAAUUCAUGAAAAAAAAAGAAUCACCGGAGCAUCGCUUAAAUGGAGGAAACGUGAUCGCGAACAAAGUACAUCCAUUAACUGUAUCGGCUACAGCAGCUCCAAACGACAAAGCGAAAUGGUUCAUCAAUAUUACAACCGAACAACAGAAAUUUGCUCAUGAUACCCUCUUCUUAAGCGGACGGGAUCUCCACCUCGCCGUCGUCAAUCUCCUGCUGGAGGUCCUUGGGGUCCUUGCCGUCGACGGUGCAGCCGACGCUGACGCAGGUGCCGAGAAUCUCCUUGACGCAGCCGGACAUUUCCUUGGCCAUGGACCUGGGCCUCAUGGUCCUGGCAAUCUCGAUGACGUCGUCGAGACUGAUGUUGCCGCUGUGCUUGAUGUUCUUGACCUUCUUGCGGUCCCUCUCGGGCUCCUUGAGCGCCUUGAUGACGAGCGCCGCGGCAGAGGGAACGACGGAGACCUUGGCCUGUCGGUUCUGGACAGUGAGCUUAACGGUGACGCGGAGGCCCUUCCAGUCCUUGGCCGUCUCCUUGGCAAUGUCCUCUCCGAUCUUCUUGGGAGAAAGACCGAGCGGACCGAUCUUGGGGGCCAACGAAGACGCCGCGCCUACCUCGCCGCCGGUCACACGGACGAACACCUCCACCACCUGCGACGGGUCGAGCUUGGGCGGCAUGGCUGCAGGCGUGGGGUGGCGGCGGGAGCUAGGGUUCAAGGCGCGAUUGCUUCGAUCGAAUGGAUAUAUUACAACGGCUGUGCCGACAAGUCUGCAGUU